AUGACGGUACCUUGCGAAUAAGAGGUUACUAACUCUGUGCCAGCAGUAGCGGUAAUACAGAGACCUCAAGCGUUAUCCGGAUUUAUUGGGCGUAAAGAGUGGGUAGGUGGUCGUGUUAGUCAGAUGUCAAAUCCUUCGACUCAAUCGAAGAACUGCAUUUGAAACGGCACGACUUGAGGCGGUGAGAGACCAGUGGAAUUCACGGUGUAGUAGUGAAAUGCGUUGAUAUCGUGAAGAACACCAAAGGCGAAGGCAGCUGGUUGGCACCGAUCUGACACUGAGCCACGAAAGCGUGGGGAGCGAAUGGGAUUAGAUACCCCAGUAGUCCACGCCCUAAACGAUGCACACUAGGUAUGGGAGGAAUCGACCCCUUCCGUGCCGCAGCUAACGCGUUAAGUGUGCCGCCUGGGAAGUACGAGCGCAAGCUUAAAACUCAAAGGAAUAGACGGGGAUCCGCACAAGUGGUGGAGCAUGUGGUUUAAUUCGACGAUAACCGAGGAACCUCACCAGGGUUUGAAAUCUGGCUGGAGAUCUUAGAAAUAAGAAGUCCUUCGAGGCCGCCAGACCAGGUGCUGCAUGGUCGUCGUCAGCUCGUGUCGUAAGAUGUUCCGUUAAGUCGGGAAACGAGCGCAACCCCUGUCGCGUGUUACACGUAUCACGCGAGACCGCCCCGUACCUUUUUUCUGAUGUUUUCGGAGAAAGGGUACGGGGAGGAAGGAGGGGAUGACGUCAGAUCAGCAUGGCCCUCUGACACCCUGGGCGACACACGUGCUACAAUGGCCGGUAUAAAGGGUUGCCAAGCCGCGAGGUGGAGCUAAUCCCAAAAAACCGGCCCCAGUUCGGAUUGGAGUCUGCAACUCGACUCCAUGAAGCCGGAAUCACUAGUAAUCGUGAAUCAGCCAAGUCACGGUGAAUACGUUCUCGGAUCUUGUACU
rnacentral:rRNA from 1 species